AUGCAACAUGGCCAAGAAAAGAAAGUUACGGUAUGUCACCAAUUUUUUUGUCUUCCUAACUAAACAUGGCAGCAUCACUUAUGGUUUAUAUCUACACAUGAAUCUGCAUGAAUUCUUCUAUCAUUUUAUGAAUUUGGUGGACACCUUAUAGUUAUUUAACACUAUUUUGAUUGCACAGUAACUUACCAAAUUACUUGCACAUUCUUUAAGCACUUUAGUAAAUUUCUAGUUUUUUUUUUUGGUAAUUAUUACUUAUUAGCAGUUUAGUACUUUGUGACUUUUGCCUACGUAAUUAUUCGUGCCAUAACAUAUCAGAUUUUGUCUCACAUCCGCGUGAUGAAAGUCAUGAUGCCUUGGGGCAUGCACUGUUAUGCUGACUGUGCUGGUGGAUGCGCGUUUUAUAUUAGCACCUUCUGACCCUGGUGCGAGUCUUUUUAGGGUUCAAUUAAACACCUGGGAUUUGUAACGAGAAUAUACCCCUACACGCAGGAUCCAGCUAAACAGAGGCAAAUACAGAGGAGAGAUACGUCUACCGGACCUUAGAAUGGCCGGACUCGACGUAUAUGAGAGGAGACAGAGCCAGGAACAAACCGAGGUCAAGGGCACAGAGAGACAGCGUAAACUAGGACAAGCCGGGGUCUGGUACACGGAAAACAGCAAGCCGGCAAACAGUACAGAUAAGGAUAAAGCGAAAACGAAGUCAGAAUACGAAGCCAAAGUCAAUACGAGAAAACACAACUGAACACCACAAGCGCUAAAGGGAACUGAAACAGAAACCACGAUAGGGCAACGAGCUAAGGGAAAAAGGUAAGUUUAAAUAGCUUUUAAACGAAAGUGAUUGGCUCCUGUCACUUCCACACCCCCUAUAGGUAAUUGUAUAGGGAGUGUGGUAUGACAGGAGCCAAUGGGAGCCUUUUGGCAAUUAGGCUCCCACUGUCUCUUUAAGAGCGCGCCCGAGACUCGCGGCGCGCUCUUAGUUUCAGGCGGGACACGUGACCGCUUCACGCGGUCACUGCCUGCCUUCCAUCCAAAGCAGUCGGAUGAGCCACGCGCGGCUCGUGCAGCCGCAGGACCGCGCGCGGCUUGAAGAGAGGAUCGCGACCGGCCCCCGGUUAAGGUAAGUAACGCUACAGGAUUGGAAGAGAGUGCAGUUUUCCCACUGCCUGCCUUCCAUCGAGGAUUGGAAGAGAGUGCAGUUUUCCCACUGCCCGCCUUCCAUCGAGGACCGCGACCGGCCCCCGGUUAAGGUAAGUAACGCUACAGUACCCCCCCCUGAGGACACGCCCCCCGGGCGGGUAGGACCAGGCCUGGCAGGAAAACGAGAAUGGAAAGAGCGCACAAGACGGGGAGCAUGGACAGCAUCAGCCGAAAUCCAACUGUGCUCCUCAGGCCCAUAACCCUUCCAAUGUACCAAGUACUGAAGUCGACCCCUAAGGAAACGAGAGUCAAGAACAGCAGACACUUCAAACUCCUCAUGACCCUCCACCGAGAUAGGAGGGGGAGGAGGAGUAUGCCGGGUAUAGCGGUUGCGUACGAAAGGUUUCAACAAUGAGGUGUGAAAAACAUUAGGAAUACGUAGAUUCUUAGGCAGGCCUAAGGCAUAAGAAACAGGAUUAACCUUAUGUAUAAUACGAUAAGGUCCAAUGAAGCGGGGAGCCAAUUUCAUAGAAGGCACCCGGAGACGAAUAUUCCGCGUGGAAAGCAAAACCCUGUCCCCCACAACAUAGGACGGAGCUGCUCUGCGAUGCUUGUCAGCCUGAGCCUUCUGGCGAGUAGCAGAGUCCACCAAAGAACGCUGAACCUGCUCCCAAGUAUUACGCAAACCAGCCAAAUGCUCAUCCAGAACUGGCAUGCCCUGUGAGGAGAAUGCAGCCGGAAGAACAACGGGAUGCUGGCCAUAGACAACGUAAAAAGGGGUCUUGCCGGAAGAAUCAUGAGUGGCGUUAUUCCGAGCAAAUUCAGCCCAAGGAAGCAGGUCAGACCAAUUGUCCUGAUGGUGAGACACAAAACAACGGAGGUAUUGCUCCAGAGACUGGUUGGCACGUUCAGCAGCCCCAUUAGACUGGGGAUGAUAAGCGGAAGAAAAUGAGAGAGAAAUACCCAUUUCUGAACAAAAGGCCCUCCAGAACCUGGAAAUAAAUUGGCUACCCCUAUCGGAUACAAUAGAUACGGGAAUCCCAUGUAAUCGAAAUACUUCUCUAGCGAAGAUAUGAGCCAGUUCCUUGGAUGUGGGCAACUUGUGAAGAGACACGAAGUGAGCCAUUUUGGAGAACCGAUCCACUAUCAUCAGGAUUACUGUGUUACCAUUUGAAGGGGGUAAUUCAACAAUAAAAUCCAUGGACAGGUUAGACCAAGGUCUCUCGGGAACGGGUAACGGAUGCAACAGCCCACAAGGAACUCUACGGGAGGAUUUCAUACAGGCACAAGUAGUACAAGCACUUAUAUAGUCAGUGACAUCCUUUCGUAAGGAAUCCCACCAAAAAUACCGAGAAACAGCUGACACCGUUUUGGAAAUACCAGGAUGUCCAGCAGUCUUAGUAUCAUGAUAUAAUGACAUAAUAUCCUGUCUCUCAGGAACAUCAACGAACAGUUUAUCAUUAGGCCUCUCGCUAGGUGCCAUGCUUUGUUUCGCUUGUAUGGCCUGCAAGAGGGACGAGGAAAUAGACAAAAUAGUAGUAGCUAUUAUCCUGUCUGGGGAAUGACAGGAGUAACAUCAAUCUCCUGUUUGUCAGUAGUUUCGAACUGUCUGGACAGAGCGUCUGCUUUAGUGUUGCGAUCACCUGGCCUAUAGGUGAUAAUAAAAUUGAAACGGGACAAAAAUAGUGACCACCUAGCCUGCCUGGAAGACAAUCUUUUGGCUUCGCUAAGGUAGGAUAGGUUCUUGUGAUCCGUAAAAAUGAGGAUAGGAUCCUUAGUUCCUUCUAACAAAUGUCUCCACUCUUUAAGUGCUAAAAUAAUAGCAAGGAGUUCGCGAUUACCCACAUCAUAAUUUUUCUCUGCUUUGGACAUUUGUUUAGAAAAGAAGCCGCAUGGAUGCAAUGGCUUUUCAGGCGACUCUCUUUGGGAUAAGACAGCACCUACCCCAAUAUCCGAAGCAUCAACUUCAAGAAUAUAGGGCAGUGAGGGGACAGGAUGCUGUAAAAUAGGUGCAGAGGCGAACGUAGUUUUAAGAAAUUCAAAAGCCUGAAGUGCCUCGGUAGACCAAACACGAGUAUUGCCAUCCUUUUUAGUCAUACGGGUAAUAGGUGCUACAAUGGACGAGAAACCUUUGAUAAAACGUCUAUAAUAAUUGGAGAACCCAAGAAAACGCUGAAUAGCUUUCAGACCUUGCGGUAGAGGCCAUUCUAUUACAGCAGCAAGCUUCUGGGGAUCCAUACGAAAACCUUUAGCGGAAAUCAAAUACCCCAAGAACUGGACUUCGGUUUGGUCAAACAGACAUUUUUCUAGCUUGCAAUAAAGACCAUUAGCAAGAAGGGUCUUCAAAACUGUCGUAACAUGUCUGUGAUGAGUGUGUAUAUCUGUAGAAUAUAUUAAAAUGUCGUCCAAGUAUACGAUAACAAAUGUGUGAAUAAAAUCUCUUAAGACAUCAUUAAUAAAUUCUUGGAAUACUGCUGGGGCAUUGCAAAGCCCAAAUGGCAUAACAGUAUAUUCGUAAUGACCGGAUCUAGUGUUGAAUGCAGUCUUCCAUUCGUGAUUUUCCUUUAUACGUAUCAAAUUGUAUGCACUCCUAAGGUCUAAUUUAGUGAACACAGUGGCAUGUUUCAGCCUGUCAAAUAAUUCUGUAAUUAAAGGUAUAGGGUAUGCAUUUUUGAUAGUGAUUUUGUUUAGACCUCUAUAAUCUAUACACGGUCUUAAAUCACCUUCUUUCUUCGAUACAAAGAAGAACCCUGCUCCAGCUGGAGAAGAGGAUCUCCUAAUAAACCCCUUUUCUAGUGAUUCCUUAAUAUACUCCUCCAUGACACGGUUUUCUUGAACCGAUAAGGGGUACACCCUGCCCUUUGGAGGUAUAGUGCCAGGCAACAAGUCAAUAGCGCAAUCAUAGGGUCUGUGAGGCGGUAAUUUCUCAGCCUCCCUUUUAUCGAAAACAGUCUUUAGAGAUAAAUACUGAGGGGGUAUAACCGUAGACAAAGGAGGACUGGUAGGUACCUCAAUAGAAUUCAAAGGUGUGACUUCCAACGUACAAGACUCGUGGCAGGCCUCACUCCAUGAUUUUAUUUGCCCUGUCUCCCAGUCAAAAAUGGGAUUGUGAGCACGUAACCAUGGAUACCCUAAUACUAACUGUGAAGAGGGAGAGGUGAUGACCUGGAAUCGAAUGGUUUCAUAGUGUAAAACCCCUGUGUACAUGUGUAAUGGUACAGUCUCAUGAGUAACAACUGGAGAACUUAAUGGUCUACCAUCUAUGGCCUCAACGGCCAAGGGUAUCUCCUUCUCUCUGAUGGGAAUGUUGUUUCUCUUUAUAAAGCCAGAGUCUAUAAAAUUUUCAGCUGCCCCAGAGUCAACCAGAGCAUAUAUGUUGUCAACUAUACAAAUCUCUCCCAUAUAUAAAGAAACCGGGAGAAGCAAGCGGUUAGGAGGCAAUUUAGGAGACUUAGAUAUCACACCCAAGGCCAGUCCCCUAUAAGGUCUUAGGUGCGAGAGUUUUCCGGGAGUAAAGGACAUUCCUUUACCAUAUGGUCUCUCCUACCACAGUAUAGGCAGAGUCCCUCCCUUCUCCUAUGUAAUUUCUCAGUAUCAGAGAGUUUGGCAACCCCUAAUUGCAUAGGUUCCUCCUCAGACACUUUAACACUCUCUGGUAUAUUAACUCUGGGGUUAAUGGGUGUAACAAAACAUCUAUUCCUGUUCUUGGUAUAGAGCCUGUCACGAAUUCUAUUAUCUAUAUCAAUGAGGUAAUCGAUAAGGUCCUCUAAGGCAAUAGGAAGCUCCUUAGCUGCUACCUCAUCCAAUAUCGUAUCUGACAAACCUUCCAUAAAGGCAGUAGUUAACCCAUUGUUGGUCCAAUCUACCUGCGAAGCAAGAGUGCGAAACUGAAUAGCAUAAUCAGCCACAGACCUAGAACCCUGUUUAAUUCUCAUUAAUGCUCUCGCGGCAUUCUUUGACCUUUUCAUUGUGUCAAAAGUUCUACGAAAAGCCGUAAGAAAACUGUUGAAAUCAUGUACCAUAGGUCCAUUAGCUUCCCAAAUAGGAUUUGCCCACUCAAGUGCCUUAUCGGUAAGUUGGUGCAUAAAGAACCCAACCUUAGACCUCUCUGUGGGAAAUGAACGUGGAUACAUUUCGAAGUGAAAUUCAAUUUGAUUAAUAAACCCUCUGCAAGUCUUAGAGUCCCCUCCAUACCUAGGAGGAGGUGUUAAAUGGGCCGAAGUAUUAGGCAAAGUAGAUACUUCAGGGAGAAGGGGCGUAGGAGGGUUAGGUGUGGUUGCUGGAACGGUUCUAGCUAGGAGCGUCUGGAGAGCCUGAGCUAUCUGAUCCAUACGGUGAUCCUGCUCUACAAAUCUUGCCUCAUGGGACGCCAUCUGUUGAGCUAAAUCUGCGGGGUCCAUGGCCCUAUCGUAAUGUAACGAGAAUAUACCCCUACACGCAGGAUCCAGCUAAACAGAGGCAAAUACAGAGGAGAGAUACGUCUACCGGACCUUAGAAUGGCCGGACUCGACGUAUAUGAGAGGAGACAGAGCCAGGAACAAACCGAGGUCAAGGGCACAGAGAGACAGCGUAAACUAGGACAAGCCGGGGUCUGGUACACGGAAAACAGCAAGCCGGCAAACAGUACAGAUAAGGAUAAAGCGAAAACGAAGUCAGAAUACGAAGCCAAAGUCAAUACGAGAAAACACAACUGAACACCACAAGCGCUAAAGGGAACUGAAACAGAAACCACGAUAGGGCAACGAGCUAAGGGAAAAAGGUAAGUUUAAAUAGCUUUUAAAUGAAAGUGAUUGGCUCCUGUCACUUCCACACCCCCUAUAGGUAAUUGUAUAGGGAGUGUGGUAUGACAGGAGCCAAUGGGAGCCUUUUGGCAAUUAGGCUCCCACUGUCUCUUUAAGAGCGCGCCCGAGACUCGCGGCGCGCUCUUAGUUUCAGGCGGGACACGUGACCGCUUCACGCGGUCACUGCCCGCCUUCCAUCCAAAGCAGUCGGAUGAGCCAAGCGCGGCUCGUGCAGCCGCAGGACCGCGCGCGGCUUGAAGAGAGGACCGCGACCGGCCCCCGGUUAAGGUAAGUAACGCUACAGGAUUGGAAGAGAGUGCAGUUUUCCCAUUCUGUUUUCAACUAAUAUUAUUCACGACUAGUCACAACAGCUAUCUUGAUGAGUAAUGGCAGGCAAGAAAGGUAGUGGCAAGGUUGAAAAUCAGCCCUUUGCCUUUUUUAUUUUAUCACACAUUUGCAGUUUAAUGGGGUCAUAGUAGGUAUAAAAGAAAUCCGUUUGUAUAGUCUUAGAUUGUGGAAACACUGCAGAAAUUGAAGGACGGAAAAGGAGCUGAGAAGAUCACCAGUCAUGCUCUAUCCAGUAAGGCGAACCAUGAAAGAUUGACUUGAACACAGACUGGGUUAGAGACUGGAGCAGGUUCUGCCAAUGACUGAUUUCAUUGAAAAGCAGAUGGAAUCAUGAAACUCUACAAUCAGUUCUUUAAGGUCGUAGCCCAUCUGUUUCUUGUUUGACAUACAAUAAAAGCUAUGAAUACUGUUCAUUAGUACUUCUUCCUACCCAUCACUAACUCCCCUCUCUUGUGUUAUUUGGUGCAUUUGUAUGGUUCCAUGGAAGAAGUGCAUCUCCUUGUGUGAUCUAGU